GACGUAGGGCGCGAGCGUUGUCCGGAUUUAUUGGGCGUAAAGAGCUCGUAGGCGGCUUGUCACGUCGACUGUGAAAACCCGCGGCUCAACCGUGUGGUCUGCAGUCGAUACGGGCAGGCUAGAGUUCGGUAGGGGAGACUGGAAUUCCUGGUGUAGCGGUGAAAUGCGCAGAUAUCAGGAGGAACACCGAUGGCGAAGGCAGGUCUCUGGGCCACUACUGACGCUGAGAAGCGAAAGCAUGGGGAGCGAACAGG
rnacentral:rRNA from 1 species